UUUUUUAUUUAUUUUUAGAUGUUAUAAUUGCCCACAGCCAAUCACAAUUUUAAUAUCUAAUCUAAUAUUUGCUCUUGAUUUGUUCCAAUUUAACUAUUGUGUUGUAAAGGGAAUAGUCCACAUUUAUAAAGUGCCCACGCCACCAUUGAAAAAGUUAAUUUUGAAUCUAAAUUCGAUUUUAUUUGUAACAAUUUUGUAUUAGACUAUUAAUUUAUUCAUGAUAGUUUGUAAAAGAAGUUUGUAUCCCUUGCAUGUUGCGUUACUUACUAAUUUAAUGUAUGUGACUUUUGUAAUAUAUAUUAAUGUAAGAUAUAUUUGAACUUUACUUUUAUUUGAAUUUUUUAUUUUAAUAUGAUUAACUCAAAAUCGAAAACAAAAAAAAAAUGUAUUAGUUAUUCGGGGAUCGGGGACCCUCGGGGAUCCCCUGUUAUUAUUCGGGGAGGGGAUGGGAAUUCUCUCAAGUAAUUCUGACGGGGACGGGGAGGGGACGGGGACAUACGCAAAAUAUUGGGGAUGGGUACGGGGAGAUCGGUCUCCUCCCCUCCCCUCCCCAUUGCCAUCCCUGCCUAUUACGGAUCUAUAACGAAUAAAAUCAAAUCUAAAUUUGUUUACAAUUCUUUAGAAAAAUAUAAUUAAUAAAUGAAAUUAAGCAAAAUAAAAUAUAAAAAGACAAUAUCCUAACAUCCUACACAAUAGAAAUAAUCCAAAUCCUAUUCGAAGAUUAAAUUAAUAGUCAUCCAAACAAAAAUUACAAAUUCUUAACAAUACAAAUAAUAGUAAUUCAAAUUCAAAUUUUAAACUAGGAGAUUUUUUUAAUUCUCUUCAUUUUGUCUUUGUCGCCUUGAAAACAAGAAUCAUACACCAAAAAGUAAAUAAAAUGAUUAACAUGUUGCAACACUAAUAAAAUGUUGCAACACUAAUAAAAGUCACUAUAAUAUUUUAAAAUAUCAAAUAUAUAACAAAUUUGUGAUAUUGUUAAGGAAAUAAUAAUUAAAUCUACAAAGCCAAGAAAAAUAAGUAAGAUAAAACUUUACCUAUCACACUCCCACAUUGUCAUUAGGAUCAUUAGCACUCUCUGUAGAUGAAGAACUAUUAGUGCUCAUGUUCACAAUGUUUUGACCAAGUUGAUCCAUAGUGACAUCAAAAUUUUCUAUAUAAUUUUUUAAAAAUAAAUCUUAAUUAGAAACAAGUCCUUACAGCAAAACCUUAGAGUCAAACACAGCAAUUUUGUUGAAUUCAGUGAUUAACCUUGUUGGAUUGAAAAAUACUGCAAUCUUAACUAUUAUAAUUAGAAUCACUAAAAUAAUAAAAAUAAUUAUAAUAUUCUAACCAAUAGAUUUAGCUAAUAUUAAUGGCCAUCAUACAAUUUCGAAUCCUCCAAUGCUUUACAACUUUGCGAGUCAAUUCUUGAACAAACAACCUUACCAUCACUUUAAAAUCUUAGUUUAUUAUUGUUUUGAUAAUUUAAAAUCUUAAUCAAAUAGCUUGUGUGAACAUUAUUGCUUAACCAUGAACGUAAUAAUAAACGAAGAUUAAAAAAAUUAAAGAAAAUUCAUUUCAUUGGUUAAAUCACUUACAAGCACACAAAUUUUUUUUUUAUCUACGAGAGUAACAGUUAGCACAAAACCCAUUGCUAAAAAGUUAAAAAAAGAAAAAGAAUUACGGCUUACUGUGUGAUUGUGUUAGAUAAGACGACGUCGGCUGAGAGAUGAAGAAAUUAUUGAGGGCGGAGACUAGAGACAAGGGAGGGAUAUUGGUUGAGAGAUGAAGGGAAAGAGAGGCGAAAUGAUAAAAUGUAAAGAUUAGGGUUGGCUGCCCUAAUUCUUGUUUCACUUAUAUGGCUUGUUUUAUUAUCGUCAAGAAUUACUAUAUUAACCUUCAAAUUUUAAAUUAUAUAUAUAUAUAUAUAUAUAUAUAAAUGAAUAUACCGUAUUUGAUUUAUUUAUUACCCAUUUAUUAAACGAAUCCUAAACGAAUAAAUGAAUCAAUGUCCUUAGUCCCAAAUUCAAUUUGUUUAAUUAGCGAAUUAAAUCGAAUUUACCCAUUUAUUAAAUGAAUUAAUUUCUUCAAACCCAAACCCAUUUAAUUUGCAUUGAAUAGAAUCGAAGAAACAAAUUCUAACUUAAUUGCCACCCUUAACCACACUUUUCAAAUUCUCGCAAAACCAAAUUAGUAUUAACUAGAGGAAAUCCAUAAACUAUAAGCAUAUUACAACAACCUCACAGUAACUCUCAAUUCUCCGGCACUAGACACAAAUUGUCACAAAUUACUAGUACUCCAAUUACAAAAAAAUAAAUAAACAAAGAGAUAGAUAAAAUUACUCCCCCUAACAAUGACAUCAAUUUGCAUGCUCCAUCAAUUAUUUGGGCUCCUCAAUCAUCCAUUCUUUAAUCAACCUAUUUGCAAGUAGUUACAAGAAUUCCUUAUUAAUCAGACAAAACUUAUUUCACCAUUCUUUCUCAAAUCUUCUCAACAUCGAAAGCCAAUUUCAUUCAACCAUUUUUUCAUCAAACAUGUUCAGCUAUUUUUUUUUAACAAUAUCUGGACAUUGGGUUUAAGAGUUCCCAAAGGUAUGACUUAUGAUUAACUUUUUAUUUUAUUCUUUUUUCAUUUUAUUCAAAUUACCAAAAAGAUAUAUUUUUUAACUAAUGUUCUUGUAAAGUGACUAGGUUACUACUAUCUUAUAGAUGCUGGAUGUUGAAGUAUUCUUUACAAUUGAUAGAGGAACACGAUAUCACUUGUCAGAAUGGAGAGAUGGGUGUGCUCCUAAGAACAAAGAAGAGUUCUUUAACACGAAACAUUCUUUGGCAAUAAACAUUAUAGAAUGAUGUUUCGAUUUACUCAAAAUGCAAUGGGCUAUACUAUGAAGUCUAUCUUUUUAUCCAAUCAAAACGUAGUGCCAUAUUAUUAUUGCUUGCUAUUUACUACAUAAUUUAGUUAGGAGAGAAAUGUCAAUAGAUCCCAUUGGAGCAUGAAUUACUUGAGAUAGAUGAUAAUAAAGUACAAGAUAGAAGUAACAUAACCAUUGUUGAAGCUUCAGAUCAAUGGAUUAGGUGGAGAAAUGAUUUAGCAGAUGCAAUGUAUAAUGAAUGGCUUGGAAACUGAGGCUAACAUAUUUUUCAUUAGGAUUUUAUUUCAGGGUUGUGACAUUAUAUUUAUGUAGUACUUUGUGAUUUGUUUAUCUAUCAAUUUAAAGUUGCAAUAUUUUUUUAAUAUUUUAAGUUAAGAAUUAUGGUAAUUUUACAGUUUAAAUUAUAUUUCAAAAAAUAUAAUGAAAUCAACAUAUAAGAAUGGAGGAGGAUGAAGGUACAAGCCACACUGGUGGAAACAAGGUGCGUAUAAGGCCAGCAUGGGCAAAUGUUGAAGAACAAGCACUGUUGGAUGCACUAGAUGCAGUGGUCGUAAGUGGUGGUCAUGCUGAUAAUGGAUUCAAAUCCGUUACAUUUAGACAUCUUGAAAAGGUACCAAAUCAAAAGUUGCCAAAUUGUGGUCCGAAUGCUCCUUCUCAUAUUGAGAGGUUAGGAAAUGUAAGAAACAAUGUGGGUUUAUAUUUGAGAUGCUGAACAUGAGUAAUUUUGGAUGGAAUGAUGUGAAAAAAUGGGUGGAGGUUGAUAAUGAUGAAGUUUGGAAUUCAUAUGUGUAGGUUAGUGAAAAUUUAAAAAAAAAUGGAUUUAUUUACUCUCAUUUAUAGGUUUUUAAAAUUUUCUUUUUAGAGAUUGAUAACUAUUUAGCAAUUGUUAUGUUUAGGUUUAUUAAAUUUUUGAAAUUUUGACUAUUUACUACAUUUAAAUUUAAUAUUUUUUACUAUUUACUGUAUCUAACUACAUCUUGAUUAAAUAUUUUGUAAUCUCAUAACACAAUAAUUAAGAAACUGGAGAAACAAGGCAUUCUCACUUUAUGAAAGAUUGGCAAACAUAUUUGGAAAGGACCGUGCUACUCAACAUGCAUGCUGAUACAAAAGACGAAGCAAAUCAAGAAGAAAUUAGCGAUGAUGAUAAUGAAAUAGAUGAUGGAUGUUCUCCAAUAUCAGCAACACCACUUUUAAGUUCUCAGCACAUUACUCGAUCACUCACAACAACGAAAUAGGAAGAGAUCUAGUCAGAGGGUGACCUGCAUGCUGGCAUUGAUACGAUUGCUAAUCUUAUCAGCCAAUCAUUUGAAAACAUGAAUACAAUAGCUCAACACAUGUUUGAUAACAAAAAAGAUCGUUUUGACAUUUUUUAUGAACUUUCAACAAUGUGACCUUCUAUUGAAGAAGAACUUCUAGCCCUAGAGUUAAUUCUAAAGGAACCCCAUAAUAUUUUAGUUUUUAAGUCCUCACAAGGUGAGUGUAAGUUAACAUUUGCUCAUAAGCUCUUACGAAGAGCACGAGGUUGAUAUGUUGCUUAAAACAACUGCGAUAUUUUAAAGUCGAUAAUAUUUUAGUAUAGAAAAGAAGUGUGUACUAAACACGACCCAAUAUUUUAUUAUAGUAUUAUAGCAUGUGAGUGCAUGUGUGUACUUAACACAACCAUAUAUUUUGGUAUAGUAUUGUUUCAAUAUUGUAUUAUUAAGUUGAAUAAAUUUUUGUAAACUUUUGAAUGACUAUGUAAUUUGAUUAGAAUUACUUUGAAUAAUUUUCACAAUAAAUGUGUAGAAAAAUUAUGUGUUGAAAUUUUUUAAAACUUAUAGUUUCAUAAAUAAAUAUAAAAAUCUUAAAUUUGUAUGUAAGUAUUUUUGUAUAUAAAAUUAUUUUUUAGCAUAUCCAUCCUUUUUAGCAUUCAAACAUAAUUACAUGUUCUAAGGAUUAUGAUAUUUGAUAUAAAAUGGUUAGUUAUUUACUUAAAUUAUUUAUUUUUGACAAAAAUUAAUUGCCAAACAUAGGACAAUUGAUAAUAAUACAAUACAGCGCAGCAUCAAAUGUUGUACAAUUUAUACAACAAGUCAAUAAAUACUAUUCUAAUACAACACACUCCAAUACAAUACAAUACAAUACAAUACAGUAUAGUGUGGCUCACCAAAGCAAUACUCGUUGAUUGACUCCAAGUUGCGUUAUUAUCACCAUUGAAUAGCUUGGUGACCAAACUAAUUCUUGGAAGAUUUGAGAAAUGAAGAUAAAAUAUUUCCUUUGGAUGGCCAGUCAGAAAGAACUAUUCAGAUGCUUGAAGAUAUGUUGUGAGAAUGUGCUAUCGACUUUCAAGGAUCAUGAAGCAAUUUUCCAAUGGUUGAAUUUGCCUACAACAAUAACUACCAAGCAACAAUUAGCAUGGCACCAUAUGAAGCUCCAUAUGGUAGAAAAUGUAGGUCACCUAUUUCAUUAGGAUGAGAUAGGCGAGCUAAGGUAUCUUGGAGUCGACUUAAUUACUGUCUCAUCGGAAGCGAUCGGGAAAAUACGUCAAAGAAUGUAGGCAGCUCAAAGUUGAUAGAAAAGUUAUGAGGAUAAAAGGCGAAGUGCUUUGGAAUUUCAAGUUGGUGACAAAGUAUUUCUAAAAGUUGCCCCAGUAAAAGGAUCAAUGAGAUUUAGGAACAAAGGAAAAUUAAGUCUGAGGUUUAUUAGACCAUUUGAAAUACUUGAACUUAUCAGGAAUAUUUUUUACUGACUUGCCCUCCCACCAUCGUUAUUAAGAAUACGCAAUGUCUUUCAUGUCUCCAUACAUGUUCCAAACUCCUCUCAUGUGCUAGAUUAUAAGCCUCUUCAAUUAGAAAAAGACUUAACCUAUGAAGAACGUCCAAUUCAAAUUCUUGAUAGAAAGAUAAAAGAAUUAAGGAACAAAAAGAUCCAUUUAAUUAAAAUACUAUAGCAAAAUAGCUCAGUGGAAGAGGCAACAUGGGAAUGUGAGGAAGAGAUGAAGAAUAAGUAUUGUGAGCUAUUUAGUAAGUAAAUUUCAAGGAUGAAAUUUUCUUAAAAGGGGAGGAAAUUAUGAGGUACAACUUUCUCACUUGAAUAUAAUAUAAUUAACUUUAAGCUAAGAAGCCCCCUUAAGUAUAAUAAUAAUAAUAAUAUAAAUAUUUAAUUCUAAAGUAAUGAUGGCAUGAGCAAUGACAUAAGUGGUGAUGCAAUAAGAGAUGUUUGUAGAGAUAGUUAGGAAUUCUAUAAUUUACUAAGAUAUUUAUGGAAGGAUAAUCUCAACCAUUAAUCAAGAGUUAUUGUGGCAAAAUCCUAACCAUCCAUUAACUUUAGGAAAUCCUAUAAAUACCUCUUAGGCCUUUCGUUUUCUAUAUAAAAAAAUAAGAAUUCAAUCAUCUUCUAUUCUAAGUCAUAACAUUAAGAGUAGAGAAAUCUUCAAGUUUGAAAGGUCUAGAGAAGUCAAGGUUAAAAGAUAAAUAACACUUCAACUGCAAUGUAGGGACAAAAUCCUAUUUAUACUUAACUUCAACUUUACCUAAUCCUUUUUCUUGUGAUGGCUACUAUAAUGUGAUUGGUUAUAAUCUAAAUUUUUAUAUGGAUGACUAUGCCACCUAUAUUAUGGUAUUUUCUUAUUUAUCUUUAUUUGGUUAGCUAGGCUGCCUAUAUUAUGAUAUUUUCUUAUUUACUCAUUGUAUGGUCGGCUAUGCCGCCUAAUCUGUGAUACUUUUACUUAAUUAUACUAUGGUUGGCUCUGCUGCAUAUAUUAUAAUACCAUUUUGUUUAAUCUCUAUAUGAAUGGCAAUGCUGCCUAAAUUAAAGAUUGUUGUCCUUAAUUAAUGUUGUGUCUUGAUUAUGUUGUACAUUUAGGAACUUCACAUGUUAUGACCUAAGUUGCAUUAAACACGUGCAUUUCAUGGAUUACUUUAUAAAGAAAACUUUUUUUUUUUAAAAAAAAAGAGAAUUUUUGAAAAAUGGGUUGUUGUACUACCAAGUGGCAAAGUUCCCAAAGAGGGAAAGCUCUCUAAGCUAAGUAAAAAGUAAUCUUUUGGAGACGGCGAUAUGUAAUGCCCAAAAGAUCAACUAAUUAGACUCAAGGGCAUGUUGUUUUAAAGAAUAAAAGUGCUAGCCUUUUAGUGCAACAUACCUGGGGCCCUAAUAAAGUUGUUUUGUAUUUCUAAGUUUCUUUUAAAAACUUAAUAAGGUCAUCUAUAUGCAUAAUCAUUUAAACAUGCAUCAAAGUGUUAUCUUACUAGACAUUGUCUCAUAAAGUCCUUACACUGCAGGUAACGAUGAGUACGGCAAGCUGACGCCAAGUCCCAAUCGAGGCAAAGUGCUUAUGAGCAUAACAAAUCUUGUGUUUUAUGAUGGAGCUUUGGUUCUAUUAAAAAAUAAAUAUCUUAACCUUAUGUAAUAAUAAAAAUUUUAGAUUCAUACUAAGGAAUCUUUGCAUGUCUCUUACAUUUUAUAACAAAGUUUUGCAUGUUAUGUAAAACUUUUUUUAUAAUCCGUAUUUAUAUUAAAAGUAGCG
rnacentral:lncRNA from 1 species